ACGAACGCUGGCGGCGUGCUUAACACCUGCCAGUCGAACGGAAAGGCCCUGCUUUUGUGGGGUGCUCGAGUGGCGAACGGGUGAGUAACACGUGAGUAACCUGCCCUUGACUUUGGGAUAACUUCAGGAAACUGGGGCUAAUACCGGAUAGGAGCUCCUGCUGCAUGGUGGGGGUUGGAAAGUUUCGGCGGUUGGGGAUGGACUCGCGGCUUAUCAGCUUGUUGGUGGGGUAGUGGCUUACCAAGGCUUUGACGGGUAGCCGGCCUGAGAGGGUGACCGGCCACAUUGGGACUGAGAUACGGCCCAGACUCCUACGGGAGGCAGCAGUGGGGAAUAUUGCACAAUGGGCGGAAGCCUGAUGCAGCAACGCCGCGUGCGGGAUGACGGCCUUCGGGUUGUAAACCGCUUUCGCCUGUGACGAAGCGUGAGUGACAGUAAUGGGUAAAGAAGCACCGGCUAACUACGUG
rnacentral:rRNA from 1 species